GCAGCACAGCAGUAGCAAUACUGUGGGUGGCGAGUGGCGGACGGGUGAGGAAUACAUCGGGAUCUACCUUUUCGUGGGGGAUAACGUAGGGAAACUUACGCUAAUACCGCAUACGCCCUACGGGGGAAAGCGGCGGACCGCAAGGCGUCGCGCGAUGAGAUGAACCGAUGUCCGAUUAGCUAGUUGGCGGGGUAAAGGCCCACCAAGGCGACGAUCGGUAGCUGAUCUGAGAGGAUGAUCAGCCACACUGGAACUGAGACACGGUCCAGACUCCUACGGGAGGCAGCAGUGGGGAAUAUUGGACAAUGGGCGCAAGCCUGAUCCAGCCAUGCCGCGUGGGUGAAGAAGGCCUUCGGGUUGUAAAGCCCUUUUGUCCGGAAAGAAAAGCACGGGAUUAAUACCCUCGUGUGAUGACGGUACCGGAAGAAUAAGCACCGGCUAACUUCGUGCCAGCAGCCGCGGUAAUACGAAGGGUGCAAGCGUUACUCGGAAUUACUGGGCGUAAAGCGUGCGUAGGUGGUUUGUUAAGUCUGUCGUGAAAUCCCCGGGCUCAACCUGGGAAUGGCGAUGGAUACUGGCAAGCUAGAGUGAGGUAGAGGAGAGUGGAAUUCCCGGUGUAGCAGUGAAAUGCGUAGAGAUCGGGAGGAACAUCAGUUGCGAAGGCGGCUCUCUGGACCAUCACUGACACUGAGGCACGAAA
rnacentral:rRNA from 1 species